AGCCCAGAGCCUGAAUCAGUGUGUGUGUUAGUGGAAGCGUCUGGAAAGGCGCGCGAUACAGGGUGACAGCCCCGUACACAAAAAUGCACAUGCUGUGAGCUCGAUGAGUAGGGCGGGACACGUGGUAUCCUGUCUGAAUAUGGGGGGACCAUCCUCCAAGGCUAAAUACUCCUGACUGACCGAUAGUGAACCAGUACCGUGAGGGAAAGGCGAAAAGAACCCCGGCGAGGGGAGUGAAAAAGAACCUGAAACCGUGUACGUACAAGCAGUGGGAGCACGCUUCGGCGUGUGACUGCGUACCUUUUGUAUAAUGGGUCAGCGACUUAUAUUCUGUAGCAAGGUUAACCGAAUAGGGGAGCCGAAGGGAAACCGAGUCUUAACUGGGCGUUAAGUUGCAGGGUAUAGACCCGAAACCCGGUGAUCUAGCCAUGGGCAGGUUGAAGGUUGGGUAACACUAACUGGAGGACCGAACCGACUAAUGUUGAAAAAUUAGCGGAUGACUUGUGGCUGGGGGUGAAAGGCCAAUCAAACCGGGAGAUAGCUGGUUCUCCCCGAAAGCUAUUUAGGUAGCGCCUCGUGAAUUCAUCUCCGGGGGUAGAGCACUGUUUCGGCAAGGGGGUCAUCCCGACUUACCAACCCGAUGCAAACUGCGAAUACCGGAGAAUGUUAUCACGGGAGACACACGGCGGGUGCUAACGUCCGUCGUGAAGAGGGAAACAACCCAGACCGCCAGCUAAGGUCCCAAAGUCAUGGUUAAGUGGGAAACGAUGUGGGAAGGCCCAGACAGCCAGGAUGUUGGCUUAGAAGCAGCCAUCAUUUAAAGAAAGCGUAAUAGCUCACUGGUCGAGUCGGCCUGCGCGGAAGAUGUAACGGGGCUAAACCAUGCACCGAAGCUGCGGCAGCGACGCUUAUGCGUUGUUGGGUAGGGGAGCGUUCUGUAAGCCUGCGAAGGUGUGCUGUGAGGCAUGCUGGAGGUAUCAGAAGUGCGAAUGCUGACAUAAGUAACGAUAAAGCGGGUGAAAAGCCCGCUCGCCGGAAGACCAAGGGUUCCUGUCCAACGUUAAUCGGGGCAGGGUGAGUCGACCCCUAAGGCGAGGCCGAAAGGCGUAGUCGAUGGGAAACAGGUUAAUAUUCCUGUACUUGGUGUUACUGCGAAGGGGGGACGGAGAAGGCUAUGUUGGCCGGGCGACGGUUGUCCCGGUUUAAGCGUGUAGGCUGGUUUUCCAGGCAAAUCCGGAAAAUCAAGGCUGAGGCGUGAUGACGAGGCACUACGGUGCUGAAGCAACAAAUGCCCUGCUUCCAGGAAAAGCCUCUAAGCAUCAGGUAACAUCAAAUCGUACCCCAAACCGACACAGGUGGUCAGGUAGAGAAUACCAAGGCGCUUGAGAGAACUCGGGUGAAGGAACUAGGCAAAAUGGUGCCGUAACUUCGGGAGAAGGCACGCUGAUAUGUAGGUGA
rnacentral:rRNA from 1 species